CAUGUACUUCCUGCAGUGCAGUUAGAAAUGCCCAUCCGACUCUGCUUGCAAAGGCACAGCUGCUUAAAGACUGUUACCGGAAAGGAAUCCUGAUCCAGACGCCAAGAGAGGGUUCUUGGACUCAUGCAAGAAAGACUUCAGACAAGUACAGACAAUCACCAGGAACUAAGGAACAAGAAGCAUCCAACCCUGCAUCUGUGGGUUUCCUGAGGUGACUCUCAAUUGUCAUAGAAUACGAGUUUUGAAUUUUUGAAUUGCUGUUAAAACUUUCAUCAUGAACACUGAAGUGAGUGAAAAGAGACUUUUGCAGUCAUUUUUUUGUUCUCAGGUCCCUGGACCAUGAAGGGCCACAUCCAAGGAGCUACCCCAGGAGGCCUCUCAUUUGCAUUUGUCCCCGCUAAUGCAGGACAGAGAUCAUGGAAGUUGGGCCCGACUGGAUGAGAUUUGGGGGUCUUUGGAAGUGGAGAAUGUGUUUGCCCUGGGGAAGAGAGGUGAUGUCUAGGAGACCUCUUCACUCAGGGCAAGCUCUAUGACCUGCUUUGACUCCAGAAUGUGGUAGAAGUGGCAUCACAUAAAUUGCAGAGCCUAGGCUUCAAGAGACCUUGCAACUUGCCUCUCACUGACUUGAAGUGCUCCCAUCAGAGCAUCUUGUAAGGAGCAGGUGGAGCAUGUGGACAAGCCAUCCCCACCAGCCCCUGAGACAUGUGAGAGAGGCCAGAACAGGCCAUCCGGACCCCACUGUGCUGGUGGAUGAGACAGCAGAAGGAAUAUCAACCUACCAACAGAAUCCUGAGAAAUGCUCACUCUUACUUCAAGCUGCUGCAUUUUGAUGUUAUGAAACCAUAAAUAACUUAUGAAGUCAUCUUUGCUGACUUAAAGUUUUCCAUAACUUUAUUAUAACAUAUCAAAAUUAUGAAAAAUGUGAAAAGUAGAAAACUGAUGAAUUUUGCUUCUUCAUAUGGUCUUUAAGAAUCUCAAAGGCACUGAAGUUUUUUAUCUUUUCUGUCUUAGAAUAAAAAACCUUGAAUGAAAAUCUGCUUCUUGGAAAAGCAGCAAGGUUUAUGCAGAGGCAAUCUGGUAUUUGUGUGCACUGGCAGCUGAUCAUACCCAGCAUGCACGCACUCUCAGGGCAGAGUCUGAUGCCCCACAUAAUGGGGCAUGGUAAGGACUCCCAUGUCCUUGAGAUAAAAUGAUAAGGAAAAUACACACUGCUAUUAGAAUAACAGGCCCAGCUUCUGCACAUUUUAAUUCCCAAAGUUUUCAUGAAAGACAAUGAUUUUUUGGUACCAUGUUUAACUCUACAAGAAUCAGUAGUGAAAACUAAAAAUGAUACUUUGUGAAAGUUCAUUAAUUUUGUUUUCAGCCAGUGGUGGCCUUGGUCAGAUAGAAUCAAAUCUAUGAUACUUUUUAUCAGAAAUGCUUAUACUGUGUACAAACCCAAAGUGAUGGCUUUCAAAGAUUGAAUUUGAUUAUUUUCUGUAUGGUGCAGAUGAAAAAUUACUACACAGGAGAAGGUGGGUUGGAGGUGCUCACGAGUAACCAGGAAACAGUCUGAAGUUUUUCUGAUACUUCUCCUUGGUCCAACCAAAUGUGAGAUAUAAACACAAACUUGGGAUUCCGUUCUUAUGUUUUGGUUGUUUCAGUCUUUACAGAUGUAUCGAAAGGCUGUCCAAAAAUGUCUGACUUCUGUAGUGUGCCUUCGUAGCACUAGAGGGUUCUGCAGCUGUGAAACUGAAGGCAUUGGCAAGAAGCCCUCCAUCUUCAAACCACUUUCUGCUAAGGUGUGGCUCUAUAAAACCACUAUGAGCUGGGCUUCACUGAGACUGAGUUGUUUCAGUAGGAUCUUCCGGAAAAACAUGUUCCCUCCUUUACCUGGGUUGUCAUUCUGAGAACAAUCACACCUCCAAUUUUGGCUUACUAAGCAAUAGCGUUUUAAUGAUUUUAAGCCAGGAUUUGCUCCUCCUUUCCUCAGUAUGAGAGCUUAACCACUGGAGGAACCAAGAAUUCAUGCUGGUUGGGUUCUGAUUCCACUUUAACUUACUGUAUAGCCUCAUCCCUUGUUUUUCUGGAGAUUCUCUUUUUCUGCUUCACUGAUUUAUAUUUACAUUAAAAUCAAAUGAGGCCAUGUUUCUGAAA
ensembl:lncRNA novel transcript